UACGAAGGGGGCUAGCGUUGCUCGGAAUGACUGGGCGUAAAGGGCGCGUAGGCGGCGGACGCAGUCAGAUGUGAAAUUCCCGGGCUCAACCUGGGGGGCUGCAUUUGAUACGUGUUUGCUUGAGUGGGGAAGAGGGUCGUGGAAUUCCCAGUGUAGAGGUGAAAUUCGUAGAUAUUGGGAAGAACACCGGUGGCGAAGGCGGCGACCUGGUCCUUGACUGACGCUGAGGCGCGAAAGCGUGGGGAGCAAACAGG
rnacentral:rRNA from 1 species